rnacentral:misc_RNA from 1 species
UUUCUUCUUCUUCACUCAGUUUUCCUUGAUGGGUUUGCCUCUAUAUUGCCUCAGAUCGGAUAACAAACUAUAUAUGAGGACGAAGAAGGGUAAAUUUGGCUGGAGAUAGAAGCGAGGAUGGUGAAUUUGUAGUAAAAAAAAGGGAAUAGCAGAGAGAGUGAGAUAGUACGAAUCCACCCAAAUAGUAAAACGAAGGGAGAAUUUGCAAUAAUAUAGUGUUUGAAUAAGAGACCACUAAGAAGAGAGAGAGAGAGAGAUGAUGAUGAAUGGUACGAUCGGGAGAUCAGAUCACUAAGAAGUAAGAGAGGGAUGAUGAAUGGUACGAGAGGAGGUGAGAAGAAGUGUUGUCUGGUAGCUUUAUAGGCUAAUAAAAUGGCGAAAUACCAGUCAGCACCUGCAGGCUGCAGUCCGAACUUGUCG